GGUCCUGAAGCUCUGACGGUGGAGCGGCCGGUCGAAACCCGGUAGGGGGCGGUUCGAGCACGCCCGGGACCACCA
rnacentral:tRNA from 1 species